AGCAGUAGCCGCGGUAAUACGUAGGUGGCAAGCGUUGUCCGGAAUUAUUGGGCGUAUAGGGCUCGCAGGCGGUUUCUUAAGUCUGAUGUGAAAGCCCACGGCUCAACCGUGGAGGGUCAUUGGAAACUGGGAGACUUGAGUGCAGAAGAGGAGAGUGGAAUUCCACGUGUAGCGGUGAAAUGCGUAGAGAUGUGGAGGAACACCAGUGGCGAAGGCGACUCUCUGGUCUGUAACUGACGCUGAGGAGCGAAAGCGUGGGGAGCGAACAGGAUUAGAUACCCCCGUAGUCCCUGUCUCUUAUAC
rnacentral:rRNA from 1 species